UUAGAAAUAUGGGAAGGAGAAACACAAAUAAUGUAAACACACAGGAAAACACAACGAACACGGAUAAUACACAUACAUACAAUGAAAUUGAAACACCACUCACACAAAGUUAACAAAGCAGUAUCAGUCUUAAAAGCGCGGUGAUAAACCGUAACCGAAAGCGUAGGCAGGAAAAAUUAGUUUAGAUAGUUCUAAAACAAGCUUUUGUGCGAUUAAGCUUUUAUAGCUUCAAAACACAGUGCCGUACGAACAAAUCGCGACGCAUGCACCAUAGAGGACGCCAUUACACCAAAUUACAGACAACCAAAUGUAGGACAUUACACACAAUAACAAAGACACAAAAUCCUAUCCCUUUGAAGAAGGUUAAAUAAAAUAACCGAAACGUCGGACGUAGGAGCAA